rnacentral:rRNA from 1 species
UACGUAGGGUGCGAGCGUUAAUCGGAAUUACUGGGCGUAAAGGGUGCGCAGGCGGCCUGUUAAGUCGAACGUGAAAUCCCCGGGCUCAACCCGGGAACUGCGUCCGAUACUGGCAGGCUUGAAUCCGGGAGAGGGAUGCGGAAUUCCAGGUGUAGCGGUGAAAUGCGUAGAUAUCUGGAGGAACACCGGUGGCGAAGGCGGCAAUCC